rnacentral:lncRNA from 1 species
UUUCUGCUGCUGCUCAUUCCUUCCGCGAAGCUUCUUCUCCCUUCUCCGCGAACUGCUUCUUCUUCUCCGGCAAGGCAAGCGCGAACCUCGUCUUCUUCUUCUCCGCGAACGAGGUUAGUCUCCCUAACUCCCCUUUGCUUGUAUGAUACAACAUUGUUAUAGCUUGUAGCAGUGGAACCUUAGGAUAGUUACCUUAGGAUAGUAACCUUAGGGUAGAAGACGAGAGGAGAGGACGCCGGAAAAAAUGGGGAAAGGAGGCUGACGGCGGAGACUUCCGGAAGACCCGUUAGGGGUUCUUCCGGAAGUUCCGGAAGAACAUUUUCCGGAAAGUUUCCGGAAGAAGGGUUCUUCCGGAAGUAACCAAACGUCUUCCGGAAGAACACUUCUUCCGGAAGACUCCCGGAAAAACCUCUUCCGGGAACUUUCCGGAAGAAGUGGUUCAUCCGGAAGAAUUCCGGAAGACGCGCACUUCCGGAAGAAGUUUCAAAUUUCCGGAAGACCUUUCCGGAAGAACCCCUUCUUCCGGAAGGUUUCCGGAAGAACCACUUCUUCCGGAAAUGGUUUUUUUUUUUGUGUUUUUUUUUUAAAUUUUUUUAAACAGAAAUUGUUUUGUUUUUUUUUUAAAUGAAUUAUUUUAUUUAUUUUGGUUAUUUUGUUUUUUAGAUUUUAUGAAAAAUGAAGUUUGGGUUUUUGAUGUCAUAUUUUUUUUAUAAUUUAAAUUGUGUAUUUUUACUAAAUAUUAAUUUGUAAAUUAAUUUUUUUUAUAAAAGUAGUUGUGUUUGUUUUUGUUUAUUGUUUAUUUUUUUAAAUUAGUGUUUUUUCUUUAAAAAUGAAGUUGUCUAUUUUUAUAAUUAAAGUUGUGUGUUUUGGAAGUUUUAUAAAAAUACUAACUUUUUAUAAUUAAUUAGUUUAUUUUAUUAUAAAUGAAGUAUUUUAUUUACUAAAAAAAUUGUGGAUGUUUACUAAAUAAUUUUUUUUUAGAUUAGUUGUUUAAUUUUUUUAAAAAAUUAAGUUGUGGAUGUUUAGUAAUGAAUUAUUUUUAUAUUAGUUGUGUUUUGUUUUUAUAAAUGAAGUUGUUUAUUUUUUUUAAAAAAAAAAUUAACUUGUUGAUGUUUACUAACUAAUUUAGUUGUGUUUUUUUUUAGAAAUGAAGUUUCUUAUUUUUUUUUUUUUAAAUUAAGAGUUGGAUGUUUACUAAUUAAUUUUUUUUACAUUAGUUGUGUUUUUUUUUAUAAAUGAAGUUGUUUAUUUUUUUUAAAAAAUUAAGUUGUGGAUGUUUAGUAAUGAAUUAUUUUUAUAUUAGUUGUGUUUUUUUUUUAUAAAUGAAGUUGUUUAAUUUUUUUUAAAAAAAAUUAAGUUGUGCAUGUUUAUUAAUAAUUUUAUUUUACAUUAGUUGUUUUUUUUUAUAUAAAUGAAGUUGUUUAAUUUUUUUUUUAAAAUUAGGUCGUGUAUGUGUGAAAAUAAUUUGAUUUAAGUUAGUCUUAUUUGUUUAUAAAUAAAGUUGAUUUUUUAUAAAGAAAAUUGUGUAUAUUUUGACCGAAAAAAAUACGUGUUCGACAUGAUUUACAGAUCAUGGCCAGAACACGAGGUUUAGGUCGUGCCAUAGGUAGAGUUGUAGGCAGAGAUAGAGCUGCUGACGAGGAUGCUGGCGAUGUUCCCGAGAGGCGUAGGCCUACUGCCUCAGCCCGUAGGCUACGCGUUCAUCAGAUGACUACGGAGGGACGUGAUAUGGCUGAG